rnacentral:tRNA from 2 species
GACGAUGUGGUGAAAAGGUUAUCACAGAUGGCUGUUAACCAUCCGUUCAGAGUUCGAUUCUCUGCUUCGUCG